rnacentral:rRNA from 1 species
CAGUAGCCGCGGUAAUACGAAGGGGGCUAGCGUUGUUUGGAAUUACUGGGCGUAAAGCGCACGUAGGCGGAUCGAUCAGUCAGGGGUGAAAUCCCAGGGCUCAACCCUGGAACUGCCUUUGAUACUGUCGAUCUGGAGUAUGGAAGAGGUGAGUGGAAUUCCGAGUGUAGAGGUGAAAUUCGUAGAUAUUCGGAGGAACACCAGUGGCGAAGGCGGCUCACUGGUCCAUUACUGACGCUGAGGUGCGAAAGCGUGGGGAGCAAACAGGAUUAGAUACCCCAGUAGUCCCUGUCUCUUAUAC